rnacentral:tRNA from 1 species
UCCCUGGUGGUCCAGUGGUUAAGACUCUGUGCUUCCAAUGCAGGGGAUGAAGGUUUGAUCCCUGGUCAGGGAA